rnacentral:rRNA from 1 species
AGGUUAAGUUAUGUAGGGCGCAGGGCGGAUGCCUUGGCACUAAGAGCCGAUGAAAGACGUGAUAAGCUGCGAAAAGCUGCGGGGAGAGGCAAAUACUUCAAGAUCCGCAGAUAUCUGAAUGGGGCAACCUAACCAGGGAGACCCUGGUUGACCUUAACUGAAUCCAUAGGUUAAGGCCGGGAACCCGGUGAACUGAAACAUCUAAGUAGCCGGAGGAAGAGAAAACAAAAGUGAUUCCGUAAGUAGCGGCGAGCGAACGCGGAAGAGCCCAAACCGGAGAGCUUGCUUUCCGGGGUUCGGACUGCAUGAUCGAUUCAAAUCUGCUAACAGAAAGGUCCUGGAAAGACCUGCCAGAGAACGUGAAAGCCGUGUAUGUGAAAGUGGAAGAGACGAGGCAGAAUCCAGAGUAGGACGAGACACGUGAAACCUUGUCUGAAUGAGCGGGGACCACCCCGUAAGGCUAAAUACUACUUAGUGACCGAUAGCGCAUAGUACCGUGAGGGAAAGGUGAAAAGGACCCCGGGAGGGGAGUGAAAGAGAACCUGAAACCCUGUGCCUGCAAGCUGCGAAAGCUCUAUAUACGAGUGAUCGCGUACUUUUUGUAGAACGGUCCGGCGAGUUAUGUAUACCGGCAAGGUUAAGUGUUUAAGACACGUAAGCCGAAGGGAAACCAAGUGUGAAUAGUGCGAAUAGUCAGUAUACAUAGACCCGAAACCGGGUGAUCUAUCCAUGGACAGGAUGAAGCGGCCGUAAAAGGCUGUGGAGGUCCGAACGCACAUCCGUUGAAAAGGGUGGCGAUGAGCUGUGGAUAGGGGAGAAAUUCCAAUCGAACUCGGAGAUAGCUGGUUCUCCCCGAAAUAGCUUUAGGGCUAGCCUUGUAGCGUGCCUGUUGGAGGUAGAGCACUGAAUAUCCGCGGGGGCUUCACCGCUUACCAAAGAUUAUCAAACUGCGAAUGCCAGUCAGGUUUAGCACAGGAGUCAGACUGCACGAGAUAAGUUGGGCAGUCAAAAGGGAAACAGCCCAGAUCUACGGCUAAGGUCCCAAAGUACGUGUUAAGUGGAAAAGGAUGUGGGAUUUCAUAGACAGCUAGGAUGUUGGCUCAGAAGCAGCCACCCAUUCAAAGAGUGCGUAAUAGCUCACUAGCCGAGAGGUCCUGCGCCGAAAAUUACCGGGGCUAAAACACGACACCGAAGCCUAGGGAUUGCUUGUAUCUACGGGUAUAAGUGAUCGGUAGGGGAGCAUUCAUAAGAGCGUAGAAACUGUACCGAUAAGGAGCAGCGGAGCGUUAUGAAGAGAGAAUGCCGGAAUGAGUAGCGAGAUGAGGGUGAGAAUCCCUCAGGCCGAAUAUCCAAGGAUUCCAGGGUAAAGCUGAUCUGCCCUGGGGAAGUCGGGACCUAAGACGAGGCCGAAAGGCGUAGCCGAUGGACAGCAGGUUGAUAUUCCUGCACCAGAUAUCAUCAGAACUGUGGGGACACAGGUAAUAAGGACAGCCCGGGAGAGCAGCCCGGGGCAAGCAUGGCAAGAGGAAAGGGAGAAAACCCCUUUCAGGAUCGAGCUGUGUGAUGCGGAGCGAAAUAAAGUAGUGAAGUGUCCGGAGGACCUGUCGAGAAAAGCCGCUAUAGUGUGAUAUCUGCCCGUACCGUAAACCGACACAGGUGGAUGAGGAGAGAAUCCUAAGGCCGACGGAAGAAGCAUUGCUAAGGAACUCGGCAAAAUGUACCCGUAACUUCGGGAUAAGGGUAGCCCUCAUGUAUGAGUAUAUGAGGGCCGCAGAGAAGAGGCUCAAGCAACUGUUUAGCAAAAACACAGGUCUAUGCGAAACCGAAAGGUGAAGUAUAUGGGCUGACGCCUGCCCGGUGCUGGAAGGUUAAGAGGAGAGGUUAGAGCAAUCGAAGCUUUGAAUUUAAGCCCCAGUAAACGGCGGCCGUAACUAUAACGGUCCUAAGGUAGCGAAAUUCCUUGUCGGGUAAGUUCCGACCCGCACGAAAGGCGUAAUGAUUUGAGUACUGUCUCGGCAAUGCAUCCGGUGAAAUUGAAGUGCCAGUGAAGAUGCUGGCUACCCGCGCCAGGACGGAAAGACCCCAUGGAGCUUUACUCCAGCUUGAUACUGGGAUCCGGUAUUGUAUGUACAGGAUAGGUGGGAGGCUAAGAGAUUGUGGCGUCAGCUGCAAAGGAGCCGCUGUUGGGAUACCACCCUUACCGUACUGGAUUUCUAACCAUGGACCGUGAAACCGGUCCGGGGACAAUGUCUGGCGGGGAGUUUGACUGGGGCGGUCGCCUCCGAAAGAGUAUCGGAGGCGCUCAAAGGUUCCUUCAGGAUGGACGGAAACCAUCCGAAGAGUGCAAAGGCAUAAGGGAGCCUGACUGUGACACCGACGGGUGGAACAGGUACGAAAGUAGGACUUAGUGAUCCGGUGGCAGAACGUGGGAUUGCCAUCGCUCAACGGAUAAAAGCUACCCUGGGGAUAACAGGCUUAUCACUCCCAAGAGUUCACAUCGACGGAGUGGUUUGGCACCUCGAUGUCGGCUCAUCACAUCCUGGGGCUGUAGCAGGUCCCAAGGGUUGGGCUGUUCGCCCAUUAAAGUGGUACGCGAGCUGGGUUCAGAACGUCGUGAGACAGUUCGGUCCCUAUCCGGCGCGGGCGUAGGAUAUCUGAGAGGAGCUGUCCUUAGUACGAGAGGACCGGGAUGGACGGACCGCUGGUGUAUCUGCUGCGAAGGCAAUCGCAUAAGGCAGGGUAGCCAAGUCUGGCAGGGAUAAACGCUGAAGGCAUCUAAGCGUGAAGCCCCCCUCAAGAUGAGAUAUCCCCACGCAAGUGGUAAGACCCCUUGGAGAGUACGAGGUUGAUAGGCACAAGGUGUAAGAGUGGUAACAUUCUCAGCUGAUGUGUACUAAUAGGUCGAGGACUUAACCAAA